UUUGCAGCACAGAGUACUCAAUUCUGUGUUGGGCAGAAAAUGUUUUUUCUUCUUGAUGCACAGUUGAACUUCUGCAUUCUUUUCUGGCUUUCUCUGUGACUACAGAAAGGUUGCUGGGGAUGAUAGAAAAGCUGGGAAGUCUCUGAUGUGCAGACAAGCAUGCAUAAAUCAUAUAUUUGAACCUAAAUCAAUCCCUAAGAAAUGAUUUUCCCCCAGGCCGGAUUGGCUGUGGAAAUGGCAAAUUCCUUCAUAUCAGUGUUCAAGCCUGAAAGCUGGGUUGUGCCUCUUUCCUGCUGAUGGAAGCAGCAUGAAAUGAAGGCCAUGAAGUGAUGGUAAACCACAGCUUGUGUCUGCCAUGUCAAAUCAAGUGCUUUCCUGUCCAUCUCUCUGCACCUAUUGCAUAUGGAUAUAUAAAGAAGCAAUUUUGCCAGUUCCACAAAUUGAAUAGCCUAUUUUGACAAGAAACAAAUCAAGACAUGAUGAAUCAGCAAAAUUUUAAAAUGGCCUGCUUUCAAAUGCUUUACUUCUUGCUCAAGGAGACAAAUUUGCUCUAUUCCUUUGAUGUGUGAAUUUGCAUAAUCAGAUGUACAAGCGAAUACAUGUUUACGUGGAGGAUGGAUACAUCACUGGCUAUUAGAUGAAAGAUAAAAGUUGCUAUCUGCUGCCGCAGCCCCGCACUAAAGGGAUGUUUAAUCUGACUAAAGAUGAGUUUCUUUUGCCCUAAUAUUUCCACCACCUGCAACCUUCUUUAUUUAUUGUGAUUUAGAACAGAACUAAUUUCAUUUAAAGUACCGUCCAUUUUGACAAAUACUACUUCAAGCAUAUGGCCCUUUGUUUUAUAAUGCUUGGAUGGUGGGAAACCACCUUAAAAUAUGUUGAACAGCGGGUGAAAGAUUGUUCUAGGGGUGCAGUGCUGAAGUAUCAGCCCCAGUGCCCUCUACCUGUCAGUGCGAGCUGCAGGAGAAGCAAAUCGGAACCAUUUCAAGUAGGAGGGUGGGAUGAAGGUUCCUGGGGUGAAAUCAGGUCCUCAGGGAGUGUUUGUGCCUCCCUGGCAGCUCCAUCUCUGAAACAGCACCUUUAUCACACAUUAGAGAUGAUGCAGUUUAAAGGUAGUUUCAACAUACAAUAAAUUUAAUGUAAAGGAAAAAUAAAUAAAUAAAUAAACGCUUUUUUAUAAGCCGCCUUCUUUAGUUGAAUGCAUCUGCAUGGCUAUCAGGUAGCCUGACGGGAAGUCACAUGAAGUAGUUCAUGUGAUGAUCUGUGAUUUCUGUAUAGCACAAUGCUGCCCCAUGUAGAUGUUCUGUUUCUGUGGGUUGUGCAUUUUAAAUGUAAUAAAUCAUCCGUAGCUUUUAAAAUGAUCUGACAAAUUUACCUUGACAACACCAAAAUUUUGCUCAGCAUGAGAUUUUAUUAAUAAACUGUAAUUUCUUAAAUGACACUUGAUGCCUUUUUAAUUAAAAAGGCCAUGAUGUUUCAAUGUCAAAGUCUUGACUACUGCUACAAGACCUGAGGUUUUGGAAUUGAUUUCAGUUCAUCUCGUCUCAAACAAGUGAAACCUCCAGGCAUAGCAGUUGAAUAACUAAAUGUUAAAAGGCCCUAUUCCUUUAGAGCUUGCCUUUUGAUCCUCACAUUGCUGCCGAGGCUCUGAAUGCAUCAUUCAUUGCAGGCAGAGUGUUUUCCUAUCUCAGCUGGAUUUCACGCUGUUAUUCUUUUAAUUGUAAAGAGUCUCUUUUUCUGAGGCAAAAUGGAUCUGAUGGUGAAAGGCCGCCCUGACAGGCACAGAUAGGUUGCCUGUAUAGAGCUUCGGCUGGAAUUUUCUAUACUUACCUUUCUAGAAAGAGUUGAAAGCUUGUACCUUUUUUUCCCCCUUGAAAGAAUGGUUAUUUUUUCCGUGGAAGCCAACACUUCUACAGUUGAACAAAAAAGCUAGUUUAUUAUCGUAACCUGAAGUGGUUCAGGUAGGAAUACCUGCCCAAACUAGUACAGGCACUUUCACUGAGGAAAAUAAAAGCUUGGAUAAAUAUAACUAAUUCUACUCCUUUUCAUUCUCAGCAUCUUUAACCUUUACCCUUUACUUUCCAGGACUAUUCCAGGAUUGUUUCAUAUUCUUAUUUCUCAUGGAACAUCAUUCAUCGGACAUAGCUGAGACUUUGAUGAAGUUCCUAUCAUGCACCAAGACCUGCUUAACCUCAACAUCUGUUGUGAGCUGCUCCCCAACUAUGUCGUUUGAGAACAGGGAGCAACCUGCAGAGCUGCCCUUCGGCAAAUUCCUGAUAAAUCCUAAGACCAACUGCCUUUUUAGGGACAAAAUAUUUUAUCAAAAUUAGAGUCAACUCUAAACUCAUUUCUUCUUCCAGCAAUGUUGUGCUGCUUGGGUUUCACCACUGUAACUACCAUGCAAUUUCCAUGUCAUUCGUGUCCUGUGUGCAGUUAUCCAGCAAGAGUGGGGUUACCUAAUUAUUUGUUUGUAUGAAAAAUACUUGAUAAUGUCAGAAACACACAACCGUUAACUGGCCAAGUGUCUUUCACCUGUAUGUUCAUGAUUUAAAUGUUUCCAAGGCUGGCAGUGACCAUCCAUUUUUCCUGCUUUGCUUCUGAUGGCUGUCAGUAAAGAAGAAGUGGACAGGCAGUUUUAACUAAGUCCUUUUGAGAACUUUGUUAACUUUUGAGGCCAUGCAUGGCCUCAGUACAUGGCAUCCUGAUCUGAAGUGAUUCUUUCAGUCUACAAAUGAGUAUUAAACAAGGGUAAGAAAGGGCCACGUUGCCUUGCCAUUGAGGGGGUGGUGAAUUUUAUUGAGAAAAUGUGGCUGUUGCCUUCUUUAUUGCUGAUCUGAAUGAUGUUGCUUGUUUCAAUGUGCUGAAAUGAGUUUCUAAAUUCUACCAUGUUUUUAAAAUACGUCAGUGUGCUAUGAAUGAACUCUUGUCAUUGAUUAGAGAUGGUACAAUAGAAAAUAAAUGAUGUACUCCUGUGGUGCAAACCACCAGUUGCCAGUGUGCUAGAGCCAGUCCCUGGCCUUAUACUCUGUAUUCAUUAGUGUCCUGAGGGAUACUUGUUCACCUUAUCUUUUCUGUUCUAGUGAUUCUCCAUUUUUCAACAGAAGAGAACUGCACGCAAGCCAUAAAGGAGAUGGCUCACAUCUUGAGAAUAGAGGCCAGAUAAUGAUGUAUGUGUGGGCAGUGGAGCAAAAGCAGAGAUUUGAAAAGCAGGAUGUCUUUGUUCUUUGGAGUCCUUCACCUCCUUCCUGCUCCUGAGGUGAUCCUUGUGCAAGAGGAAUACAAAAAUCAGUUCUUCAGGACUUCUUCAGAAAGCUGGCUUUGAACCAGCCCUGCUUUAAGUUGGAUUUAGAUGGGACUUUAGAAUUACUCAAGAUUACUUGAUUCAGUAUUAAAUUUGGUUGAUCAGUGGCACCAAAACCAGAUCAUUAGAUACUGCAAUUAUAUGUUUCAGUUGAGUUUACCAAACAGGAACGAGAAAGUUGAAAAAACCUUUGUGUGGCUUUCUGAAACACAUUUCCAACUUUUUUUUCUACAUUGCAAACAAAAUUCUGAAAAUACAGCAGCUUUUGAAAUGGCUGUUAAACCUGUGCUGCCCACAACAUGUUGCUUCAAGGCUUUCAGAGGUUGCUAUUGAGAAGUAGGGCAAGCAACUACACACCUCCCUGUGGCUGCAGAUACUAUUCAUGAUUGCAGCAGAGAGGUGACCUGAUUUCAUAUCAGAAAGAAUUACCUGACCUGAUUUCAUAUCAGGAAGCAUUAGUUGUCAGACAACAACUUAAAAUAGAUCAUCACCCAAAACAAGGAGCUUACUGCAAACCUCAGGACAAAAGCAGGGUAGGCUGCUCACUGCACACAAAGGUCAAUGAAUGCACCCUGGCCACACAGAGCAGACAGCAGCAGCGUCCUAAUGGGGUCUGGCUAAGGUAUUACCACAUUUUUAAAGACAGGAGUUUGGCUGAGCUGAUAGAACAUUACGAUCCCGAGCUACCUAUUCUUCAUUCAUACUUUGACCAUGCAAAUCUGUGUGUGAUUGCACAAAAGAAUGAAGUGUGGAGGAUCUGGGGAAAUAUCGCUACUGAAAUGCACAAUGAACACUUCAGGGCUUUCUUCCUUUUGAAAGAUCAGCGCCUUUGAAAAUCCUUCCUAAAGCUUUUUAUAGCCUUGGGAUUGUUUAGGGAGAGAGGGGAAAGUACGAGGAGCAGACUGCUUUGAAACUCUCCGGUUCUGUAACUUUCUCUUCUUUGAUUUUGUUCUUAAAAUACAUUUCUAUUGAAAUAUUUUUUCUAGUGUUAUUACUUCAGACUGAGCACAUUUUAGCACACAAAUACCUUUUAAUAAACAGCUGCCAGCUGUGUUUUGCUGAUUUAAAACAGGUAAAAUACAGUUGGAAGUGGGUUGUUGGAUUAUUUUUUUGUGUGCAUUAAAAGCCAUUGUUACUCAUUUAUAACUAUGUCAUCAUUCAUGUCAACUUGUUCUUUUAAAAUUUAUUGUACUCUGUCACUUGAUGUAACGUAACAUGGAAAGCAAUUGAAAGAUGCACUGUUUUAUUGCA